GUGAGGAAUUUUGCGCAAUGGGGGAAACCCUGACGCAGCAACGCCGCGUGAGUGAUGAAGGCUUUAGGGUCGUAAAGCUCUGUCAAGUGGGAAGAAAGUAUUUAAUGCUAAUAUCAUUAAGUAUUGACGGUACCACUAAAGGAAGAACCGGCUAACUCCGUGCCAGCAGCCGCGGUAAUACGGGGGGUUCAAGCGUUAUUCGGAAUUAUUGGGCGUAAAGAGCGCGUAGGCGGUCUUUUAAGUCAGAUGUGAAAGCCCGGGGCUCAACCCCGGAAGUGCAUUUGAAACUAAAGGACUUGAGUAUGAGAGAGGGAAGUGGAAUUCCUGGUGUAGCGGUGAAAUGCGUAGAUAUCAGGAGGAACACCGGUGGCGAAGGCGACUUCCUGGAUCAAUACUGACGCUGAGGCGCGAAGGCGUGGGUAGCA
rnacentral:rRNA from 1 species